rnacentral:rRNA from 1 species
AGCGGCGCGCUUAACACAUGCAAGUCGAGCGAGAAAGGGGCAACCCCGGUAAAGCGGCGCACGGGUGAGUAACACGUAGGUAAUCUACCCUCGGGUGGAGGAUAACUUCCGAAAGGAAGGCUAAUACUGCAUGAGACCACGGCCUCGAAAGGGGCAGGGGUCAAAGCCGGCCUCUGUACACAAGCUGGCGCCUGAGGAUGAGCCUGCGGCCCAUCAGCUAGUUGGUAGGGUAAUGGCCUACCAAGGCGAAGACGGGUAGCUGGUCUGAGAGGAUGAUCAGCCACACUGGAACUGAGACACGGUCCAGACUCCUACGGGAGGCAGCAGUGGGGGAAUCUUGCGCAAUGGGCGAAAGCCUGACGCAGCGACGCCGCGUGAGUGAUGAAGGCCUUCGGGUUGUAAAGCUCUGUGGAGAGGGACGAAUAAGUGUUGGCUAACAUCCAGCAUGAUGACGGUACCUCUUUAGCAAGCACCGGCUAACUCUGUG